CUUGAAGUCCAGUGUGAAGUUUCCACAGUCUGUGUUGAUUUGGGGAGCCAUGUCAUCUGCUGGUGUUGGUCCACUGUGCUUCAUUAAGUCCAGGGUCAACGCAGCCGUCUACCAGGAGAUUUUGGAGCACUUCAUGCUUCCUUCCACAGAUGAGCUUUAUGGGGAUGCUGACUUCAUUUUCCAGCAGGACUUGGCACCUGCCCACACUGCCAAAAGCACCACAGCCUGGUUCAAUGACCAUGCAAUUACUGUGCUUGAUUGGCCAGCAAACUCGCCUGACCUGAAUCCCAUAGAGGCAUUGCCAAGAGAAAGAUGAGAAACAUGAGACCGAACAAUGCAGAAGAACUGAAGGCCGCUAUUGAAGCAUCCUGGUCUUCCAUAACACCUCAUCAGUGCCACAGGCUGAUAGCUUCCAUGCCAC